GAUGAACGCUGGCGGCGUGCCUAAUACAUGCAAGUCGAGCGAACAGACGAGGAGCUUGCUCCUCUGACGUUAGCGGCGGACGGGUGAGUAACACGUGGAUAACCUACCUAUAAGGCUGGGAUAACUUCGGGAAACCGGAGCUAAUACCGGAUAAUAUAUUGAACCGCAUGGUUCAAUAGUGAAAGACGGUUUUGCUGUCACUUAUAGAUGGAUCCGCGCCGCAUUAGCUAGUUGGUAAGGUAACGGCUUACCAAGGCAACGAUGCGUAGCCGACCUGAGAGGGUGAUCGGCCACACUGGAACUGAGACACGGUCCAGACUCCUACGGGAGGCAGCAGUAGGGAAUCUUCCGCAAUGGGCGAAAGCCUGACGGAGCAACGCCGCGUGAGUGAUGAAGGUCUUCGGAUCGUAAAACUCUGUUAUUAGGGAAGAACAAAUGUGUAAGUAACUAUGCACGUCUUGACGGUACCCAAACAGAAAGCCACGGCUAACUACGUG
rnacentral:rRNA from 1 species